CCUACGGGAGGCAGCAGUGAGGAAUAUUGGUCAAUGGACGAGAGUCUGAACCAGCCAAGUAGCGUGAAGGAUGACUGCCCUAUGGGUUGUAAACUUCUUUUAUAUGGGAAUAAAAUGUUCCACGUGUGGGAUUUUGUAUGUACCAUAUGAAUAAGGAUCGGCUAACUCCGUGCCAGCAGCCGCGGUAAUACGGAGGAUCCGAGCGUUAUCCGGAUUUCUUGGGUUUAAAGGGAGCGUAGGUGGAUUGUUAAGUCAGUUGUGAAAGUUUGCGGCUCAACCGUAAAAUUGCAGUUGAAACUGGCAGUCUUGAGUACGGUAGAGGUGGGCGGAAGUCGUGGUGUAGCGGUGAAAUGCUUAGAUAUCACGAAGAACUCCGAUUGCGAAGGCAGCUCACUGGACUGCAACUGACACUGAGGCUCGAAAGUGUGGGUAUCAAACAGGAUUAGAUAUCCGAGUAGUC
rnacentral:rRNA from 1 species